rnacentral:tRNA from 1 species
AGGGGUAUAGCUCAAUAGGUAGAGCGGCGGUCUCCAAAACCGUAGGCUCAGGGUUCAAGUCCUUGUGCCCCUGCCA